rnacentral:rRNA from 1 species
AUUUUAUUAUUAUUAUUAGAAUUAAGAAAAGUAAUUUUAGUUUUUAUUAAUUUUUAAGAAUAAAUUAUUAUAAUAAUAGAGAAUUAGUAUUGUGAAAGAAUUAGUUUAAAUUUAAAAAAGAAAAUUUUAAUUAUUGUACCUUGUGUAUUAGGGUUUAUUUAAUUAUGAUUAAAUUAAGUUUAAUUUCUCGAAUUUAAAAGAGUUAAAAUUUUAUUAAUUUUAUUGUAAAAUAAAUAUUUAUAAUAAGAUUUUAGUAGUGAAAUGUUAUUCGUUUUUAAAUAUAUCUAGUUUUUUAAGAAAUAAAUUUAAUUUAUAUAAAUAUUAUAUUUAAUUUUAUUAAUUUAAUAUAUUAAUAUUUAUAAAUAAUUUAAGGGAUUAGCUUUAAAUUAAAUUUUAAAAAAUAAUUAUUUGCUUUAAAAUAAAUAGAAUUAUAAAUUUUUAAUUUUAAUAAUUUGUUAUAAUUAGUUUUAAAUUUUAAAUAAUUUUUAUUAUUUUUAAUUUUUUAUUAAAAUAAUUUGCUUAAUUUAAUAGUAUAUAAAAAAUUGAUAAAAUUAGUAUAAAUUAUUGUAAAUUUUUUAAAAAUGUAAAAUUGAAUUUAAUAAUUCAGCAAUAGUUUUUCUGCCUGUUUAUUAAAAACAUGUCUUUUUGAAUAUAAUUUAAAGUUUAAUCUGCCCACUGAUAUUUUAAAUGGCUGCAGUAUUUUAACUGUACAAAGGUAGCAUAAUAAUUAGUUUCUUAAUUAGGAGCUGGAAUGAAUGAUUGGACAAGAAAAAGACUUUUUUAAUUUAAUAUAAUUAAAAUUUUAUUUUUUAGUAAAAAAGCUAAAAUAAAUUUAUUAGACGAGAAGACCCUAUAGAGUUUUAUUUAAAUUUAAUUAAUUAAUUUUAGUAUAAUUAUAAAUUAAUUUUUAUUUAAAUUUUAUUGGGGUGAUAUAAAAAUUAUUGAACUUUUUAAUAUUAUUACAUUAAUGAGUGAAUUUAAGAUCUUAUUUUUUAGAUUUAUAGAUAAAAUUACCUUAGGGAUAACAGCGUAAUUUUUUUUGAGAGUUCAUAUUGAAAAAAAAGAUUGCGACCUCGAUGUUGGAUUAAGAUUAAAUUUUAAUGAAGUAGUUAAAAUAUUUAGUCUGUUCGACUAUUUAAAUCUUACAUGAUCUGAGUUUAAACCGGUGUGAGCCAGGUUGGUUUCUAUCUUUAAUUUUUUUUUUAUAUUUUAGUACGAAAGGACCAAAUAUA